ACAAAUCCUGCUGCGGUGCUGCCCUCCCUGGGUGGUGCUGUAGUAUAUUAACUCGGUCCAGGCCGCAAGGCUUGGGCUGAUAAAUUAAUGUGUGUGUGUGUUGACAAUGUGUGUGAGAUAAAUAAUUAGUAGA
rnacentral:misc_RNA from 1 species